GUGGGGAAUCUUCCGCAAUGGACGAAAGUCUGACGGAGCGACGCCGCGUGAGUGAAGAAGGCCUUCGGGUCGUAAAGCUCUGUCAUCAGGGACGAACGGCCGGUGGAGUGGAAAGCCACCGGAUUGACGGUACCUGAGAAGGAAGCCACGGCUAACUACGUGCCAGCAGCCGCGGUAAUACGUAGGUGGCAAGCGUUGUCCGGAAUUAUUGGGCGUAAAGCGCGCGCAGGUGGGAUCUUAAGUCCAUUUUGAAAGUUCGGAGCUCAACUCCGUGAUGGGAUGGAAACUGGGAUUCUUGAGUACCGGAGAGGAAAGCGGAAUUCCCCGUGUAGCGGUGAAAUGCGUAGAUAUGGGGAGGAACACCAGUGGCGAAGGCGGCUUUCUGGACUGUAACUGACGCUGAGGCACGAAAGCGUGGGGAGCAAACAGGAUUAGAUACCCGUGUAGUCC
rnacentral:rRNA from 1 species